rfam:Gossypium hirsutum cultivar TM-1 unplaced genomic scaffold scaffold1251.1, whole genome shotgun sequence
UAUAAAAAAAUUCAUCCAUUUCUACUGUUAAAUACUGUCCUGACUGACAAAAUAAUCAGAUAGUUACAUAUGACGUGUUACAUGUACCUUAGACUGGCAUACAUAAACCAGUUUUUAACCGUAAAAAUGGAUAAAAUUUUAACA